GCUCAUCUACUCCUCAUGCUUGCUUCCCGCUCCUCUCUCUCUCCGCUCACACGCACCUCCACAGAAGAGGCGGCAAAGAAGGCCACUUCACAAGAGACCCAUCAAGUCUCACCUUCACCAAAAAGCCAACUUGAUCCCAAGUGGCGAUCCUCACUUAUCCCUCUCUUUUCUUUCUGUUUUUCGUUACGCACAGUGCCUGCUGCCUAUAGACGGCAUACAGCCACUCGUGAGCUCAAGUAGUCGAGAGAGGAAGAGAAGGUAUACGCGUUCCCUAGUCUCCCUUCGUCCUCUUCCCAUUUCUUCCCUCUCCCUGCCGUGUGUUGGGUUCUGCUCUCGCGUUGGUGCCUUCUCUCCCUCUGUGUCUGUGUGUCUGUCUGUCUCCACUUCUGUGGCGUUAGCACGAGUGGUGGUGUUCGUAGUGGGAGGCAGACACAUCAUCUCGAUCGCUUGUUGGUCGUGGUAGUUUGCGCACGACAUAUUUUUUCGUGCACGGGCACUUGCGCUGCUGCACUUACGACUGGCACGACAGACAUCUCAACACACACGCCAGGCAACGGCGUCACGGCAGCGAUUCGCCUGUUUCGCUCUCUUCCUCUCUCCCUCUUUCGCUCGAUUACGUUGCGCUCUGUCUCCCCCUCCCUGUAGCUCUACCCAACAGCCAAAAUGGACGUCGACACGCUUCUCACGCGUCAGAUGGAGCUGCACACCUCCUUGCGACAGCCCCCGAAGAACCCACAAGAUCUCGUGCGACUCAUGGACAUGAUGCGCAACUAUAAGCACUACUUUGGGUCGCUGCGCACCUUGGCGGAGCGUUUCAGCGUGGAACCGGAGACGGUCUUUCAGGCCUUCAUGCACAUCAGCGUCGGCGGCACCGUGAACUUCGACCGACAACAUCAAGACGGUGCAGUCCCCAUGCACCAGGCCAAAGUGUUGCCGCGCUCCAAAGCGAUUGAGCUCGCCCCGAGGCUGUGCAAGGAGCUCCCGAAUCCGGAGCUGAUGGUGUACGUGGGGCUCUGCCGCGACCUGCGCAACACGCUCCGUGUAAAGGUGGAGGACGGCAACGAUCUCAAAACGGCUGAGAAGAGCGUCUGCGAGGCGGUCGAGUACCUCAGCUUCAUCAACAAUCGCGCGCACCACAACACAGAGAAGCUGUAUGCGCUUUACAUGGCCGAGGACCCGAACUCGCUGUCCUCACUGCUGGGCGACGGGGAGUCGUCGAUGACGGCCUCGUGGGCAACCUUUCAAGACACCUUCUCAUCGACAAUCCCGAGCAUGCAGUUGCCCACGCUCGGCGACGACGGCGCCCCACUGGAGAACGAGCCGACAGCGCUGCCGAGCCCGCUGUCCUCUUUUAUACCAGAGCUGAAGAAGCAGUGUGCCGCAGCAAGCGACGUGUCCUCCGUAAACGGAGGUGCAACCAAACGCCUCAAGGCAUCCCAAGUGCUCCUUGACUGGAUAGCAACAGUACCAGCCGAGUACUUUGCGCAACACGCCGAGGGCAUUGUGGGUGCGGUUUCGUCGACGCUGGCGCUCUUGGCCGCAGAAAAGCGCUCAGCGCUGUGCCGUGUUGGGUGCGACAUCAUCAUCAUGCUGAUGCAACGCCUCUCGCCAGAGCCGGUGUUCAUCGAGGACGUUCAUCGCGGUACGUGCAGCACGAAUCCGGCUACGUUCAGUGGGGCACUCUCGCAGUGGGUGUCGAGCUUGGCGAAGGGGAUUUACGUCACGAUUGCCGCCAUUUCCUCGGCGACCGACGCGGCUUUACGCGCCAUCGCCAUCCAAAGCCAUGGACACCCCAAUGUGGUGAAGACGCUCUUGACGGCCCUUUCCGGCGGCGCACAGACGGAGCUGCGGCGAAAGUGCCUGGGCUAUUUGGCAUUGUGCGUUGUGGCAGCUCACCAGAAGCGCCCCGAGCGGAUGCAGGAGUUGGUGCACCUUCUAGGCCCCGUCGCCGUCAAGUACGUAGCAAACGGCGACUCACCGAGCCGCAAGAUGGCGCGCGCACUCUGCUCGGUGCUGCGCGUGCUGGGCCCUGCCACGUCUCCGAGGGGGAGCGACAGGUUACUGCAUAUUGCUGAUGAGCGCAUCGAGGUCCUUGUGCAGCAGGAGCGGCCUCAGGUUGAGCCGGCCGUUCUUGGCGGCCCUCAAGAGCUUGAGAACCUCCUCUUCGAGGCGGACACCUUUGUUUCUUCAAUUCGCUCCACCUUCUCUGCGGGAUCGCAGCGUAGCCUGCUAGGCAGCAUGCGAGGUCGCGGCCACCAAGGGAGCUUUGGGGCCGGCCGACGCGCACUUCCUCAACGCGAUGUGGCGGCGGGGGACCGGGGAGGUCGUGGCCGUCAAAGCAAGCCGGGUGCGACCGAUGUGGGCGCGGCGGCGGGGAGCAGACCUUCGACCAGCAUAGCGAAAGCACCGCCACUGCUGCUCUUGGUGAGCUUUGUGUCACUGUGCGGUCCCCUACAUGCCAGCACACCGCAGCGUACGCGGUGCCUCACGGCCGCGCGAUGGUGGAGGUGCAGGCCCCUACGCGCUCCGCCGUGGGCCGACGUAGUCUCUCGCCCAGUGGUGGCCUCAGCCCGACGUCUAACGUUGCUGCCGGACAACUCGCACACACAAGGUCUCAUCUCAUCGGGCAAAGAUGCGCCUUGGCAGCAUCUACGACGCCGAGGCGUUUCUUGGCGGCCACAACGCGACCCCGACAAGCGCGGCAAAGCGCGCGGCAGCCGGGGAGUCGCCCCACCGUACUGUCGUCUCUAGGAAUACCUUGGCGACGCAUGCGCCACCGGUCGAGAGUGCCAUGAGUGGCCACGGGGGCGGCGCCGGGCACGUCACCGCCACCACUGCCGGCUCGAGUGGGGGGCAUCAACCUCUCCUUCCAACGCUCACGUCCGCGCAGCGCCGCACACCCCAUGCUGAUCGCACCGCUGCAGCGGAGGAGGAGGGUGUGCUGCCGCCGCCUCGUGGUGCGGCGCUGCCUAGCUCCGACCGGCUCGUGCCUCUUUCCUUGCGGAACCACGCUGGCCACGACAGUGAGGCUGCCUACCGGGGUCUCGUGUCUCCGAGUUGCUCAAGCGGCUCCGCAGCCGCGGGGCCAAACGCUCCGCGCAUCAGUCAAUCCCUGCGCCGCAAAAUCGAAGAGAACAAAGGUGCGUUGGGGUUGUGAAGAGGAGGGACAUGUGCGCUGGUGACAAAUCGUGGUGAGCAGGGGAUAGGACGUGGCCAAGUUGAGUUGAGUCUGCGUCGGUGGUGGUGUUGCUCCUUGUGAAUGCACAUGCUAUCCUUGCUACUGCAGCUACUUCUGUGUGCAGUGUGUACUGGCUAUAGUGAUGUACAGCUCUGAGAAUUUUAUCGUCGACGGGGCUCGUUUCGUUGUGGCUCGUAUACGGAUGUCUUUCGUGGGAACUGCCUCUUUUUGCGCGUAGCACUCUGUGCGUGGUGACGAGACACCCGUGCGUCCAUCUGGUGUGCAUAUGUUUGUGAGUCUGGGUAGCCCCUUUCUUUCUUCUCACCCCUUCACCCCUCAUCUCACGCCGCCUUGUGUACAACAGUCCCAUGCGCGCCGUGCCGGCAGUUUUAGGGCUGAGAGGCGGCGCUCGUCAACAUUGCGCGACCGCUUGCCGCCUCUGAAGCCUGCAAAGAAACGCCUGUGGGUGUCUGUGCAUGCUCUCGCCCACGCACCAUCGCGCUCUCUCUCUUGCUCUUGUCAUUCCUUGACGUUCUCCUCGCUCCCAUAG
rnacentral:misc_RNA from 1 species